GCAGCUGAGCCUCGCCGCUGCGGGGUCCUGAGCGGCCCCCCUCUCUCAUCCGCGCUGCAUCAGGCAGAGCGCUAACGGAGCACGUGCCCAAACCCCCUGCUCUCGGAACUGUAAGUGCACAGGAGCAGUGGACUCCAAAGCAUGGCAGGAACCGAAGCACGCCUUGGCUAGGCCAAGGAAGAAAGAAAGUACACAUAUCCUACCCACCCACUCACAGAUUCUGAAGAGUACCUGACGGUCAUUUUUUGGAGCCAUCACGAAAAAGACUGGACAAGCAAGAAACACACAUGAAGAAUUUGGGAGUAAAGAACCAGGAUGGAUAUAACUCACCUCCAAAGAGAGGAAGGGAGAGGGAUAGAGAGUUAGAAACAUCGAUGAGGGAGGAACAUCGAUCAGCUGCCUCCUGCACACCCCCUACUGGGGAUGUGUCUGCAACCAAGGUACAUGCCCUUGACCGGAAUCGAACCUGGGACCCUUCAGUCCGCAGGCCGAGGCUCUAUCCACUGAGCCAAACCGGUUUUGGCUGUGUUUGUGUUUUGUUUUCCAACAUAGGGACUCAAUAAUGAAGCACAAGAGAUAAUGUUAGCCAUAGCUGCAUCUGGAUGUU